CCUACGGGAGGCAGCAGUGGGGAAUAUUGGACAAUGGGGGGAACCCUGAUCCAGCGACGCCGCGUGAGUGAAGAAGUAUUUCGGUAUGUAAAGCUCUAUCAGCAGGGCAGAAAGAAAUGACGGUACCUGACUAAGAAGCCCCGGCUAACUACGUGCCAGCAGCCGCGGUAAUACGUAGGGGGCAAGCGUUAUCCGGAUUUACUGGGUGUAAAGGGAGCGUAGACGGCGAUGCAAGUCUGAAGUGAAAGGCGGGGACCCAACCCCCGGACUGCUUUGGAAACUGUAUGGCUGGAGUGCAGGAGAGGUGAGUGGAAUUCCUAGUGUAGCGGUGAAAUGCGUAGAUAUUAGGAGGAACACCAGUGGCGAAGGCGGCUUACUGGACCGUAACUGACGUUGAGGCUCGAAAGCGUGGGGAGCAAACAGGAUUAGAUACCCUUGUAGUC
rnacentral:rRNA from 1 species